CCUACGGGAGGCAGCAGUGGGGAAUAUUGCGCAAUGGGCGCAAGCCUGACCCAGCAACGCCGCGUGCAGGAUGAAGGCUUUCGGGUUGUAAACUUCUUUGACAGGGGAAGAGCAGAAGACGGUACACUGAAAACAAGACUCGGCUAACUACGUCCCAGCACCCGCGGUAACUCGUAGGUGGCAAGCGUUGUCCGGCAUUACUGGGUGUAAUGGGCGGGUAGCCUGGAAGGCAAGUCAGAUGUGAAAUCCGGGGGCGCAACCUCCGUAUUGCAUUUGAAACUGUUUUACUUGAGUGUUGGAGAGGCAGGCGGAAUUCCUUGUGUAGCGGUGAAAGGCGUAGAUAUAAGGAGGAACACCAGUGGCGAAGGCGGUCUGCUGGACAUCAACUGACGGUGAGGAGCGAAAGCGUGGGGAGCAAACAGGAUUAGAUACCCGUGUAGUC
rnacentral:rRNA from 1 species